AAGUCGUAAACAAGGUUUCUGUAGGUGAAAGUCCGUAGGUUAAAGAGGAACGAAAAGUCGUAGACAAGGUUUCCGUGAAAACUUCCCCCGUGAACAUUCAUCCUGCUCUUGUAACCCGCGAAGCUUGCAAUCUCUGGUAAAUGAAAGUUUUGAUUCAGAGACCCCUGGCCCGUGAGAAAAUUGGAACAGUUACAAUUCGAGCGGUAGUUCUAUAGGCCUUGUUUUCCCAAGCAGUCAGUGUCUGAAAGUGUCAGUGAUUGUGCAAGGAUAAAGCUUCACGAUUCUUGUGACCGCAGCUCGCGGGCAGGAGCUAGGCCAAAGGGUCCUCAUGCCGCCCUAUAACCCCACAGUUUAAUGGGAAGCUCAAUGUAAUACAUUGGGUAAAAAAACAGUUCAACUGUUAACAAUGUAUAUCUUGGUUCUC
rnacentral:misc_RNA from 1 species